rnacentral:rRNA from 1 species
AUUGAACGCUGGCGGCAGGCUUAACACAUGCAAGUCGAGCGGAGAUGAGGUGCUUGCACCUUAUCUUAGCGGCGGACGGGUGAGUAAUGCUUAGGAAUCUGCCUAUUAGUGGGGGACAACAUUCCGAAAGGAAUGCUAAUACCGCAUACGUCCUACGGGAGAAAGCAGGGGAUCUUCGGAACUUGCGCUAAUAGAUGAGCCUAAGUCGGAUUAGCUAGUUGGUGGGGUAAAGGCCUACCAAGGCGACGAUCUGUAGCGGGUCUGAGAGGAUGAUCCGCCACACUGGGACUGAGACACGGCCCAGACUCCUACGGGAGGCAGCAGUGGGGAAUAUUGGACAAUGGGGGGAACCCUGAUCCAGCCAUGCCGCGUGUGUGAAGAAGGCCUUAUGGUUGUAAAGCACUUUAAGCGAGGAGGAGGCUACUGAGACUAAUACUCUUGGAUAGUGGACGUUACUCGCAGAAUAAGCACCGGCUAACUCUGUGCCAGCCGCCGCAGUAAUAC